GCCUGAUCCAGCAAUGCCGCGUGAGUGAUGAAGGCCUUAGGGUUGUAAAGCUCUUUUACCCGGGAUGAUAAUGACAGUACCGGGAGAAUAAGCUCCGGCUAACUCCGUGCCAGCAGCCGCGGUAAUACGGAGGGAGCUAGCGUUAUUCGGAAUUACUGGGCGUAAAGCGCACGUAGGCGGCUUUGUAAGUUAGAGGUGAAAGCCUGGAGCUCAACUCCAGAAUUGCCUUUAAGACUGCAUCGCUUGAAUCCAGGAGAGGUGAGUGGAAUUCCGAGUGUAGAGGUGAAAUUCGUAGAUAUUCGGAAGAACACCAGUGGCGAAGGCGGCUCACUGGACUGGUAUUGACGCCGAGGUGCGAAAGCGUGGGGAGCAAACAGGAUUAGAUACCCUGGUAGUCCACGCCGUAAACGAUGAUAACUAGCUGUCGGGGCUCUUAGAGCUUCGGUGGCGCAGCUAACGCAUUAAGUUAUCCGCCUGGGGAGUACGGCCGCAAGGUUA
rnacentral:rRNA from 1 species